rnacentral:rRNA from 1 species
AUGAAGUGCUUGCACUUCUGACGUUAGCGGCGAACGGGUGAGUAACACGUAAGGAAUCUACCUAUAAGCGGGGGAUAACAUUCGGAAACGGGUGCUAAUACCGCAUAAUAUCUUCUUCCGCAUGGAAGAAGAUUGAAAGACGGCUCUGCUGUCACUUAUAGAUGACCUUGCGGUGCAUUAGUUAGUUGGUGGGGUAACGGCCUACCAAGACGAUGAUGCAUAGCCGACCUGAGAGGGUGAUCGGCC